rnacentral:rRNA from 1 species
UACGUAGGGACCAAGCGUUGUUCGGAUUUACUGGGCGUAAAGGGCGCGUAGGCGGCUUUGCAAGUCGGGUGUGAAAUCCCCAGGCUUAACCUGGGAACUGCAUUCGAGACUGCAUUGCUAGAGUAUGGGAGAGGGAAGUGGAAUUUCCGGUGUAGCGGUGAAAUGCGUAGAUAUCGGAAGGAACAUCAGUGGCGAAAGCGACUUCCUGGACCAAUACUGACGCUCAUGUACGAAAGCGUGGGGAGCAAACAGG